rnacentral:rRNA from 1 species
AUGGGUACGGUUGACUUGUCGCGCCUUAAUUACGGUGCUAUUAGCCUGAUUCCUAAAGUAAAAGGGGCGGAUGAUAUCAAACUCUUUAGGCCGAUCACACUGAUCAACGUUCCGUUCAAAAUUUGCGCCAAAGCCUAUGCCUCGCGCUUGGCCCUGGUGGCGCAACGCGUCAUUAACUCUAGUCAGACCGGUUUCCUCAAACACAGUAACAUCCUAGAAGGUCCGAUUGCGCUCCACGAAAUAGUGCACGAGCUAAAACGCAACAAGUCUCAAGGUGUGCUCCUCAAACUGGAUUUUGAGAAAGCAUACGACCGCGUGAACUGGGAGUUCGUGCGUGAGGUC